UUUUUUCUUCUUUCCUUUUUUUUUUUUUUAAAGUUUUCAGAGAAAUAACUUGACCAAGAUGUCCAGUGAUAGGCAAAGGUCAGAUGAUGAAAGUCCAAGUACCAGCAGUGGUAGUUCAGAUGCAGAUCAGAGGGAUCCAGCAGCACCAGAACCCGAAGAACAAGAAGAAAGAAAACCUUCUGCCACCCAGCAGAAGAAAAACACCAAACUCUCUAGCAAAACCACUGCUAAGUUAUCCACUAGUGCUAAAAGAAUUCAGAAAGAGCUAGCUGAAAUAACUCUUGAUCCACCUCCGAACUGCAGUGCUGGGCCUAAAGGAGAUAACAUUUAUGAAUGGAGAUCAACCAUACUUGGACCACCAGGUUCUGUAUAUGAAGGUGGUGUGUUUUUUCUGGAUAUCACAUUUUCAUCAGAUUAUCCAUUUAAGCCACCAAAGGUUACUUUCCGUACCAGAAUUUAUCACUGCAACAUCAACAGUCAGGGCGUCAUCUGUCUGGAUAUUCUUAAAGACAACUGGAGUCCUGCUCUGACUAUUUCAAAGGUUUUGCUGUCUAUUUGUUCCCUCUUGACAGAUUGCAACCCUGCUGAUCCUCUGGUUGGAAGCAUAGCCACUCAGUAUUUGACCAACAGAGCAGAACAUGACAGGAUAGCCAGACAGUGGACCAAGAGAUACGCAACAUAAAUGGCGUCUCUUUUGUGCAGUGCGAAGAAGCAGGAGGCCUCUUUACACUGUGCAGCAAAUCUUUAUAGCCUUUACAAUACGGACUUCUGUGUAUAUGUUAUACUGAUUCUACUCUCUGCUUUUAUCCUUUGAAGACUGGGAGACUGCCCAAAAAGGUGAUGACCCGAAGUCGGAGGACACAAAGCUUGGGCGUGAUGCAUCCAACUGUGGGGGCCCUAGUGCCACAGGAAACCAAUGCUCUAACCACUGCUCGAUGCUUCUCUGUAGUCUGUGCUCAAAACAACUGUCAGACAUCCCGGCCAUGAGACCUCACUUGGGGAGGAAAGAAAAGACAAACAAGGGAAGAGAAAGCACCUCCAUAAAAGAAAAAAAAUUUAUGAAAGUAAUUUGUGAAGAUAGCCGCUGAGAAAUAUUCCCAAGUCCAGACUUGGAGGACUUCCUGUUUGAAGUUGGGGGGCAGGGACAGUGGGAAGUGGGGGACUGGUGGAAACAGCCCUGUUUUAGAUGGAAUCCAAUGUCGUUUUCAUGAAAUAAGACAGAGCACAGGUUAGAUGUCAGGAGAACAACCAUGGACCAAAAGCAAUUUGCAGAGUAGGGGAGGGAGGAGGAGGGAUGAGGGAGCUCCCAAAUGUCCUAUCUCCAGAAGGAAGCAAGUUAUAUUGUCUAGACAAGAGGAAAUGGCUUGGGUUCUUUGGGAAGGUUAGCAGGACUUUAAAAGUCAAAAUGAUGGCUGGGAAAAUCGAACUGAAGCUUUAUGGUCUGCUUUGGGUUUUACACAGAUUCUUUGAAUUUGGUUUUUUUUUUUUUUAAUGUCUGUCUUGUGAGUACAAGAUGCUCAUUAAAAC